AAUCCAUAGGUUAAUGAGGCGAACCGGGGGAACUGAAACAUCUAAGUACCCCGAGGAAAAGAAAUCAACCGAGAUUCCCCCAGUAGCGGCGAGCGAACGGGGAGGAGCCCAGAGCCUGAAUCAGCAUGUGUGUUAGUGGAAGCGUCUGGAAAGGCGCGCGAUACAGGGUGACAGCCCCGUACACAAAAGCGCAUGUGCUGUGAGCUCGAUGAGUAGGGCGGGACACGUGGUAUCCUGUCUGAAUAUGGGGGGACCAUCCUCCAAGGCUAAAUACUCCUGACUGACCGAUAGUGAACCAGUACCGUGAGGGAAAGGCGAAAAGAACCCCGGCGAGGGGAGUGAAAAAGAACCUGAAACCGUGUACGUACAAGCAGUGGGAGCCCCACCACCAAAGCGUUUCGCUUUGUGUGGUGCACAAAGAAGCGUAACGACAGCACUGAAUGACGGUUAACGGAGCGCAAGCGACGUUCAACAUACAAAGUCAAGCAGUGGAGCGCUUUGGGGUGGGGUG
rnacentral:rRNA from 1 species